AAGCUCCAGUCUCUUGAUUCCUCCUUUGUGACUGCAUCAGGAUGUCUUCUUAAGUAGAAUGACCAUAGCUUCUCACAGGGCUGUAGACAUGAGUCAUGAGUCACCUGCUCAGAACUGAACACAUGACUCAGGACCCAGGGAAGCAGCAAAGGAAACACAGGGGCCCUCUCAGCUCCAUUUCAGUAACCCUGCAGGAAAUCAGCUGAUGGAUCUCAGCCUUCAUAAUGCUUCCCAGAAACAUCUCAAGAUCAGCAGGCACAGCCACUGCAAAAAAUUUUUAUCACCUCCGGAGAAGCUCAUCUCUGGGAUCCUGGGCAUUGUCUGGUUUGCUUUAUUGGUCACCUUGGUGAUAAUGACCAGAGUUGUCUUUCCAUAUACUGAACCAAAGGAUCAGAUCAAACCCUCCCUGAAUACAAGUCCGAAAGGAAUUUCUGAAAUCCCUCUCACAGUUUGCAUGGACUAGCAUCUUUCGGGAAAGCAGAGAUCACCUCUGGGUUUGGAAAAAUGACUCAACUUUCAAACCAAAGAUAAGAGAAGUUUCCCAUGCUGAACAAAACUGUGUCGU